rnacentral:rRNA from 1 species
GAUGAACGCUAGCGACAGGCUUAACACAUGCAAGUCGAGCGAAGCGAUUUUGAGGAAGUUUUCGGAUGGAAUUGAAAUUGACUUAGCGGCGGACGGGUGAGUAACACGUGGGUAAUCUGCCUUAUACAGGGGGAUAACAGUUAGAAAUGACUGCUAAUACCGCAUAAGCGCACGGGGACGCAUGUUUCUGUGUGAAAAACUCCGGUAGUAUAAGAUGAGCCCGCGUCUGAUUAGCUGGUUGGUGGGGUAACGGCCUACCAAGGCGACGAUCAGUAGCCGGCCUGAGAGGGUGAACGGCCACAUUGGGACUGAGACACGGCCCAA